GACGAACGCUGGCGGCAUGCCUAAUACAUGCAAGUCGAACGAACCAUCCUGAAGAUUGAAGCUUGCUUCAUGAUUCAGACCUUGGUGAGUGGCGGACGGGUGAGUAACACGUGGGUAACCUGCCCAAAAGUGGGGGAUAACAUCUGGAAACAGGUGCUAAUACCGCAUAACAACUACUUUCUCAUGAUCGUAGCUUGAAAGAUGGCUCUGCUAUCGCUUUUGGAUGGACCCGCGGCGUAUUAGCUAGUUGGUGAGGUAAUAGCUCACCAAGGCAAUGAUACGUAGCCGACCUGAGAGGGUAAUCGGCCACAUUGGGACUGAGACACGGCCCAAACUCCUACGGGAGGCAGCAGUAGGGAAUCUUCCACAAUGGGCGAAAGCCUGAUGGAGCAAUGCCGCGUGAGUGAAGAAGGUUUUCGGAUCGUAAAACUCUGUUGUUGAAGAAGAACAUGCGUGAGAGUAACUGUUCACGUACUGACCGUAUUCCACCAGAAAGCCACGGCUAACUACGUGCCAGCAGCCGCGGUAAUACGUAGGUGGCAAGCGUUGUCCGGAUUUAUUGGGCGUAAAGAGAAUGUAGGCGGUUUAUUAAGUUUGAAGUGAAAGCCCUCGGCUCAACCGAGGAAGUGCUUCGAAAACUGGUAAACUUGAGUGCAGAAGAGGAAAGUGGAACUCCAUGUGUAGCGGUGGAAUGCGUAGAUAUAUGGAAGAACACCAGUGGCGAAGGCGGCUUUCUGGUCUGUAACUGACGCUGAGAUUCGAAAGCAUGGGUAGCAAACAGGAUUAGAUACCCUGGUAGUCCAUGCCGUAAACGAUGAGUGCUAAGUGUUGGAGGGUUUCCGCCCUUCAGUGCUGCAGCUAACGCAUUAAGCACUCCGCCUGGGGAGUACGAUCGCAAGAUUGAAACUCAAAGGAAUUGACGGGGGCCCGCACAAGCGGUGGAGCAUGUGGUUUAAUUCGAAGCAACGCGAAGAACCUUACCAGGUCUUGACAUACCAUGAAAAGCUAAGAGAUUAGUCUUUCCCUUCGGGGACAUGGAUACAGGUGGUGCAUGGUUGUCGUCAGCUCGUGUCGUGAGAUGUUGGGUUAAGUCCCGCAACGAGCGCAACCCUUAUUAUCAGUUGCCAGCAUUCAGUUGGGCACUCUGGUGAGACUGCCGGUGACAAACCGGAGGAAGGUGGGGACGACGUCAAAUCAUCAUGCCCCUUAUGACCUGGGCUACACACGUGCUACAAUGGUCGGUACAACGUGCUGCGAACUCGCGAGGGUAAGCAAAUCACUUAAAACCGAUCUCAGUUCGGAUUGUAGGCUGCAACUCGCCUACAUGAAGCUGGAAUCGCUAGUAAUCGCGGAUCAGCAUGCCGCGGUGAAUACGUUCCCGGGCCUUGUACACACCGCCCGUCACACCAUGAGAGUUUGUAACACCCAAAGUCGGUGGGGUAACCCUUCGGGGAACUAGCCGCCUAAGGUGGGACAAAUGAUUAGGGUGAAGUCGUAACAAGGUAGCCGUAGGAGAACC
rnacentral:rRNA from 2 species